GACGAACGCUGGCGGCGUGCUUAACACAUGCAAGUCGUACGGUAAGGCCCUUUCGGGGGUACACGAGUGGCGAACGGGUGAGUAACACGUGAGUAACCUGCCCACAACUUUGGGAUAACGCUAGGAAACUGGUGCUAAUACUGGAUAUGUGCUCCUGCUGCAUGGUGGGGGUUGGAAAGCUCCGGCGGUUGUGGAUGGACUCGCGGCCUAUCAGCUUGUUGGUGGGGUAGUGGCCUACCAAGGCGGCGACGGGUAGCCGGCCUGAGAGGGUGACCGGCCACAUUGGGACUGAGAUACGGCCCAGACUCCUACGGGAGGCAGCAGGGGGGAAUAUUGCACAAUGGGCGCAAGCCUGAUGCAGCAACGCCGCGUGCGGGAAGACGGCCUUCGGGUUGUAAACCGCUUUCAGCAGGGACGAAGCUUUUUGUGACGGUACCUGCAGAAGAAGCACCGGCUAACUACGUG
rnacentral:rRNA from 1 species